rnacentral:lncRNA from 1 species
CUUGUCUCUGCUUCCCUCUCUCUGCCUCCGCUUUAAAUUGUAGCUGGAGUUCUUCAUAUUUUCUUUGAGCCUCUGCUUCUUUCGAUGCUUCCUCCGCUUUAAGUUGAGCAAUUUGCUCAAUUGUGCUCGCUUGCAUUUGAGCCAUCUGGUCUCUUAACCUCUGAGCUUCAGCUUGAGCUUGAUUCCCCAAAGGCAUGUAUUGUUGUGAGCUAGAUCCAAAAUAUUUGGUUGGGUU